rnacentral:rRNA from 1 species
UACGUAGGGUGCGAGCGUUAAUCGGAAUUACUGGGCGUAAAGCGUGCGCAGGCGGCUUUGCAAGACAGAUGUGAAAUCCCCGGGCUCAACCUGGGAACUGCAUUUGUGACUGCAAGGCUAGAGUACGGCAGAGGGGAAUGGAAUUCCGCGUGUAGCAGUGAAAUGCGUAGAUAUGCGGAGGAACACCAAUGGCGAAGGCAAUCCCCUGGGCCUGUACUGACGCUCAUGCACGAAAGCGUGGGGAGCAAACAGG